GCCCAAUCACAAAACUAAUAUCUUAAUCCUCCACCAACACCGAAUACUUCUAUAAUGCUAUAGAAAAUUUUAUGUUAAAACUAGUAACAAGAAGCGAACCUUCUCUUAAAUGUGGAUGUAAAUCAGAAAGGACAGACCACUGAUAUUUAACACCCUUGAACCUAAAGUAACAACUAAUCAAGAAAACCCUACUCUAAGUAACGUUAACCUAACACAAGAACAUUUUAAGAAAGAUUAAAAGAAUAAGAAGGAACUCGGCAAAUUUUAACCUCGCCUGUUUACCAAAAACAUCGCCUCUUGGCCCCCCCCCAUAAGAGGUCCAGCCUGCCCAGUGACUCUGUUUAACGGCCGCGGUAUCCUAACCGUGCGAAGGUAGCGUAAUCACUUGUUCUUUAAAUAAGGACUAGUAUGAAUGGCAUCACGAAGGUUACACUGUCUCCUUUUUCCAAUCAGUGAAACUAAUCUCCCCGUGAAGAAGCGGGAAUUAACCUAUAAGACGAGAAGACCCUAUGGAGCUUCAAACAAUACAGCAUUUACCUUACAAAUUUAUAAAAACAAACUUUACCAGGUAAAAUGACUGUAAGUUUUUGGUUGGGGUGACCGCGGAGCAUAGUCUAACCUCCUUGUUGAAAAAAUCUUAUUUUAAGCCCAGAAUUACUUAUCUAAGCAUCAACAUUUUGACAUCCAUUGACCCAAUUAUAUUGAACAACGAACCAAGUUACCCUAGGGAUAACAGCGCAAUCCACUUUAAGAGCCCAUAUCGACAAGUGGGUUUACGACCUCGAUGUUGGAUCAGGGUUUCCAAGUGGUGCAGCCGCUACUG
rnacentral:rRNA from 1 species